rnacentral:rRNA from 1 species
AUACGGAGGGUGCAAGCGUUGUUCGGAAUCACUGGGCGUAAAGGGCGCGCAGGCGGUCUGGUAAGUCAGAUGUGAAAGCCCACGGCUCAACCGUGGAAGUGCAUUUGAAACUGCCAGACUUGAGUACCAGAGGGGAAAGUGGAAUUCCCGGUGUAGAGGUGAAAUUCGUAGAUAUCGGGAGGAAUACCGGUGGCGAAGGCGACUUUCUGGCUGGAUACUGACGCUGAGGCGCGAAAGCGUGGGGAGCAAACAGGAUUAGAAACCCUAGUAGUCC